AAUUCUUAAUUGAUUUAUUAAUAUUUAUAUAAUUACAUGUUAUUAUAGGCUGCCAUGUCGGAUUUCAUAAUUAAAAAAUAAUUUUUAACCCAAGAUAAUAUAAAUUAUUGGGUCAGCCCUUGUCUUUCAUUGAAUAUCAAUUUUUAUUUUCAACUUUUUUUUUAAAUAGAAACUGAGUUGCCUUAGAAUCCUAAUACUAAAAAGAAAAAAGUCAAUUAUAUGGCAUGAAGCUUUUUCACCCUAAGCCAGCAAACAGACACGUGCACCAAGAGCACGAUUGGCUAAUGCAUCAGCUAGCUGAUUACAAGAAGCAAAGGAAUAUGUCAAAUUUAUAAGGCACGACAAGGCAAAAUUAGUCAUCUACGUAUUGAGGAUUUGACAGUAAGAAAACUAAAUGUCGGAUGGGUAUGUUAAAUGAGUGUUCAAAGUAGUAAUUUUAUAUUUGUUUAUAACAUAUGGUCCUUAAUAAUAAUAAUCCAUUUUACGAUAGUAGAAUAUUUUGAUUAAAGAUGGCUAACGGGCGAUGCCAAUCAUCAAAGAUGAAAUACCAGCUAAGCAACUCAAGAGGGUGGUGAAUUGAGUUUAUAAAAAAUUAUGAAAUAAUUAAAUCAAAAUUCAAUGCAAAUAUCUAAUAAAAUUACGCAACUAACAAACAAAUAAAUAACAACAAUUAAAAUGUAAAGAGAGAAGGGAAAGAGAAUCAAACACGAGAUUUUUACGUGGUUUGGCAAACCCUACCUACAUCCACGCCUCCAAACUCACCGGGUUUGAGGAUUCUAUUAACCAAGUCUUACACCUUAAGGUUUAAAAUUUUUUACAAUUGACUUCCAAGGUGCAAUCUAUUUUAUUAUCAUCAAAAUCAAUAUUAUAGGAAUAUUUAUGUUAACAGAAGGAAGGCUCAUGCGUGUCGUACUUGCGCUGUGCCGUGCCAUGCCCACUAUGUACUUCGUGUCAUACCUAAUUUUUUAUACUUAGGCCCAGCUCAGCACAACACACAUGUCGUAUCAUGGGCCGUGCUAUGCCGUUCCUAAGAAAAAAAGAACAAGAAAUAUUUUUUUUUUUCUAAGAAGGCAGCCUACUUUUUUCAAGGCUAUCUACUUUUUUGAGUUUAUGUGCUUUUAGUUAAAUUCAAUAGAAUCAAAAUUUCAAAACUCAAGUCUAUAUUCAAUAAUAAUAAACUAAUAAUAGUAAGAGAAUAUAAUACUAAUUAUUAAGUUAGACCUUACGGUAUUAAUUUUUUUUUAACACUUAACAACAACAACAACAACAACAACAAUAUUAAUUUUUUCUUAAUGGUUAAUUUAAUUGUUAACUUUGAUUAACAUUGAGUUAUAGAUCAUAGUUCAUACUAAUAUUAAUACAUAUCAAUAAAAUCAUGAUAUUU
rnacentral:lncRNA from 1 species